CCGUAGGGGGCGAGCGUUGUCCGGCUUUCCUGGGCGUCCCUCUCGCGCCUUCUUCUCUUUCCUUUCUCCUUUCCCUCUCCAGUUCUCCACCCGGAAACUUCUUUUCAUACUGGCCAGCUGGAGGGACGCAGGGGUGACUGGAAUUCCCGGUGUAGCGGUGAAAUGCAUUGAUAUCGGGAGGAACUCCAACAGCGAAGGCAGGUCACUGGGCGUUUCCUGACGCUGAGGCGCGAAAGCGUGGGUAGCAAACAG
rnacentral:rRNA from 1 species